GUUGGUCUCGCUAUUUUUGAGAGGUGCUAUAACGAGCAAUUUUGUGAGAUUCUAUCGGUUUGAGACCUUUGUCCUAUAGAAUCAGUAUGACAGUGGUCUCAAUGUCAUGAGAGAAGUACCUCAUUUUAAGUCGUUUAGAAAUGUAUUCAUCGCCUUGUUGGGUUUGACGACGCAACUAUCAGCGUGUAGUCUCUGCACGGCGAAAGGCGGAUGGUGCAUUUAAGUCCAUCGCCGAUGUAAAAUUUGAUAACUUUGCGAGAAUCAGAUGGGAAAUCUUUGAUGUAGAACGUCGCAAAUUGGAAUGGAUCAAUAAACAAAAGAAUACGUUUCUAAAAUGGAGAUUCAUCCUUCCAGCGGAGUCGGACAUUGUCCCGUAGAUAGGAAACUUCGCACCCGAAACUGGUCGACUUUUAAGACAACUCUAUGGGUCGAUGUGUGACACCCGGAUGCGUUAGUGUUCGGUCAUUGAUACUCGGGCUCGAGUCCAACUCGAAUUAUGAAAACAUAUCCCACAAAUUAUCAUUUCAUCGAUUCCCGAGGGAUGUGACCAUUCGGAUGAAAUAGUUUUGAUUCUUCGGACAGGACCUAAACAGCAAUACUAAAAACAUGUACAUUUGCUCGCUUCACUUCAGUCUAGAUUGUUUCGUGCAUAUCGAUGGCUUGGAAGUACACUAUCGUCGAAAACUGAUACCAACAGCUGUUCCUACUGUCAGAAAGGCCAACGAUUCUCAUGCCUCGGUAAAUCAAAACCGGACAGCUCGCUGAAAAGCAUCCGUAAAAUCCGCGGAAUCGGCCCAGCUUUCUAAUGGGACUGAACAAGACUAUCCCGAGCGGGAUAUUCCGUCAAAGAAGAACGGUAGCAGCAUCAUCAACAUCUCUAAUGAAAAACCUAGCGAUUCGGCCGGUUCUGAUGGCUUAGUUCAAGCACUGCGGCAGGAGGUGUCAAAGAGCCACAGAGAGCUUCAGGAAGCUAAAAUCCGAAUUACCGAAUCACAAUUUCCCCUAUGUUUUGAUUAGGUUUUUAAUCAAAAUAGAUUAUC